GGAGCCCCCGUCGGCGUGGGGGUGGACGUGCCGCCGCAGGGAGGGCCUCCUCGCGGUGGUGCCCCCUCCCAGGAGUUAUUUAUCACUUCCGGCUGCUCACCUGGGGGCCGGGCCCCUCUCUGCUCCGCUGGGCAGCAGCCCGGGCGCUCCCUGGGGGCGGGCGGCCGCGGGGGAGGGGCGCCCCGGGCCAGGCCCUCGGGAGGCGGAGGCGCGGGCCAGGCCUGCGGCGGGGGCUGGGCGGGGGGCGGAAGCUGCCCGAGCAGAUAAGAGCCGAGGUCGGUCCUGCGGUGAGACAGUGCGGGACGCCGCCUCCUCCCCCCAGCCUCCGCCCAGCCCGCCCCCGCACCCUCCGGUCCCAACUCCCCGGAGCCACGGUCAGCCCCGGCGGCCCCCUCCCUCCAACCCCGGGGGUUGAUGCCCGGGAGCCGUGGGGGAUGGGGCUCCAGCCUGCACAUUGUGUUUCCAACCUCAGUCAUCUCCGCUGGCAAAUGGGGGCAGGAACUCCCGUUACCCACCCCAGGGCCUGUUGGGGAUGGGACAGGGGCAGGCUGGUGAAACCCCUUUGUAGAUCUGGGCCCUUUGUAAAGAAGGGGUACCCUGAGCUCCUCCUAUGGCCCCUGCCUCUUCUUGCUGACUCUCCAGGCUUGAUCCCCACUGUGUAGGUGAGGAUUUGGGGGGCCUGCCUUAAGGCACAGAGCUGGCCGUCAGGAAACAAGUGGGGAGCGGAAUGGAACUCUUUCUGUUGCCCCCAACCUGGGGAACAGAGCUAGGUUUGGGGAUGCUUGUACACUCUGGGGGCCCUGUUUAAGAAAAAGAUUACAAAAUCACAAACAUAAAUUUGCUGAGUCCUCUCCCCGGGCCUUGAAAGGGGUCCAAGCAAGUGAGAAGGCAAGUCCAGCUUCUGUUUCCUGGCCCCACCCUGCAGGCCCCCAGGAAGGGCUUACACCCCUCCUAUAGGAGCUGGUCGGACACCAAUAUAGCUGCAGGGCUGGCCCAAGGCAGGACAGCUGGGGCCCGGAGGAGUCCCCGCAGCAGCUGGGCGCACCCCCUUGCAUGCCCAGGCAGCCCUCUGCCAGCCCAGCCCAGCCCAAGAGCGAGAGCAGUCAGGCAUUUGGGGACUGCACCACAGCUGGGCAGGGCCCAGCCCUUCAGUCCCAGCCAGUCAAGGUUUACUUGCCACUCAGGGCCUCUGACUUGUGGGCUGGCAGUGGUAGGGAAAAUUCCUAGGAAAAAAGGAAGGGGGACCUAUCUGGGGCAGGGUAAGUGCAUCUGACUUGGAGUCACACGGGACUGAGGUUCAAGUCCCUGCAAGACCAUGUGACCUUGGGAAGACUCCUUCGCCUUGGUUUCUUCAUCUGUAAAAUGGGAGUAAUAAUAGUACCUACUCGUCAGAGCUGUAACGAGGCUUAAAUGAGGCCAUGCAUGAAGCAGGGCUGAGCCCUUGGCCUUUAGAAGCAAAUUUCCCUUCUGUGAAAUCUCCAGGUCAGGAGAGGCAUCUUUCUCUCCAUAUUAGGGUUGUCAGUGAUGCAGGGGUGGGGGUGGGGGUGGGUGGAGUGGUGUGUCUCUGGUUGCAAAAUUGAGAGUUAGACCCUGUGAAUGUCUGGCAGCGAGGCCCUGGUUCUAACCACUAGGGCACACUGCCCCCUUGGGCCUGUCCCCACCCACUGCUAGGUGUGCAUGCGCAGGGCAGGGAGCCGGGGGGAGCAUUUGAUUCAGGAGGCUGCUCACCUUUUCUGGAUUUUGUAAUCUCUGAUCUUAUGGUCACCUGAGGCUGGAAUUUUUCUAACUCUGGCAUACUGCAGCCUGAACCAGGAGAAGCAGGAGACUCGGGAUGGAGAUGACCUGGGGAACUGGCCAGGAAUAGGCCAUGACUGUGAACCAAGAACCUGCCUGCCAGUGCAAGAGAUGUCAGAGACAUGGGUUCUUUCCUUGGGUCUGGAAAAUCUCCUGAAGGAGGGCAUGGCAACCCACUCCAGUACUCUUGCCUGGAGAAUCCCAUGGACAGAGGAGCCUGCUGGGCUAUACAGUCCAUGGGGUGGCAAAGAGUCAGACACGAUUGAACAACUGAACUGAACUGAAGCUACUUCGCGUGCACGCACACAUGAGCCUGGGCAACAGUGACAUCCCAAAGGACUCAAAAAGUCUUCCAAGCAAAGAGGUGCUGCUUCGCCCCACGUUUGCCUAGGAUUUCUUCUGGGUUAAUCGACGAGAGAACUGAGUUCUCAGUUCAGAGCUGCCCCUCUCUAGCCAGCUGAGCUCACACCAGUCCGUCUGCCCCUCUGAGCCUCAGUUUCCUCAUCUGUGAAAUGGGGAUAAGAAUACUUGCAGCUGCAAGGAUUACAAGAUGUGGUAUGCACAGAGUGCCUGGUGAACACUACCCAUUGUUCAAACCGUGUGGCUGUCUGGGUAUGAAAGGGGGUGUCUUGGGAGGGCAGGAAGUGUGCGAGUAGACGUGGGGGGUCCUGCCAGGGCAAGAGUUGAGCCUCCAAGGACCCCGUCUCACAGAUGGAGUGCCUUGGGGAAGGGCUGGGAACCCCAGCUCCGGUGCUCUCCCACAUCAGGACAGGUCAGAGGGAGGUCAGGGGCCCUGGGCGUGCAGAGAAGAGCAGGGAGCCGAGGUUCUCAGGCAGGUGAAAGGGAAGGAGGGAGGAAGUGGGGGCUUCUGGGAGGAGACGGGAGUGGCGGUCGCUGUGUGUUGCUGGCCACACGGUCACCAUGAGGCCCCAGACCAUGACCUCCUUUGUCCUGCAUUACCGGCUUUCAAGUGAGGCCUUUCCCCAGUGGGGAAACCGAGGCUCCAGGAGGCAAGAUGACUUGCCCAGGGUCACACACUGCAGGCUCCCCAAUCUGUCUGGCUCUGCAGCCCAGGCUCUCCAACAGUCACAGCCACUUUCUUAUCUUAUCUGCCUGACGAGGUUGUGAGUGAAGCAGCGUGAUCUCAGAGGCGCAGAGGGAUCCUGGGCCCUGCUGCUGUCUCCUAGGACCCCGGGCUCUCGGCUGCCAGUUGUUCAGGAGACACUGCCGGGAGACCCUGGGGGCUGGGGGCCUGGGUGGGGACCAGAGCAUUUGCUCUGAGUGAGACAGAGACCCCUGGAGGAAAGGGGAGUGAGCCUGCCAUCUCAGGAGGGUUCCAGUGGAGACACCCCAACAGCGGGGGAAGCUGGAGGUGUCGCUCACAACAGGGCCCAAACUAGCCAACCUAUCUCUGAAAUUCCUUUUUCUUGUCUUAAAAAUUCAUACAGAUUUGUAUCCUGUUAAAUAGGUGGGCUCCCUCACCCCACGCACACUUUAAAAAAAAAUCAGUUUCUACUCUCAGUUUCUGCCUGCGUGGACACUCCAGGAAGACAUGAUGUCUUCAGUGACUGCGUGUAUCUGGUGUCUGCCCUUUGGACCCCAGGCCCUGGGCCCCUGGUCUGGUUUGAGAAAGUGCAGGGACAGAGUUGAGGUCACCGUCCUGCCCGUUCUCACAGUCCAGGGCUCUCCCCGCCUCCACUCCUUGCUCCGGCCUCUUGCUCUGGCUUUCCCGGCUCCUUUCACAGACGUGUGUCCAGCCCAGCCCAGCCCAGCCCAGCCAUCCCACUGGGACUUCUCAGAUGCUUCACCCCCUCCCCACCCCUCUUCAUGCCCUGAGGGUCCUUGUCCAGAGGGGCCCUCCCCAUCUUCAGCUGUCUAUGCGGGGCAGUCUAAGCCUUUGCCUCCCCAGAGAAACAGCCUUGUUGAAUUUCCCCACGCCCAUUUGGAGGAAACUGAGGCCCAGUGCUGAGAGAGGCUGGGCCUCCAGGGUUCCCAGGGGACCUCCGGGCAGGUGGGGUACUCGCUAGGCCUGGGGGAGAAGGCACCCAAUCCGGGCCCCCUGCCAGGGAUGCAGGAAGGAGGAGUGGGGUGCCGGGGGCUGCCGCCUGGCAGGUCCCAGUGCCCGGGGUAGGGAAGUUUCUUAUUUCUCCUGCUCCGACUUCCCCCUUUGAUUUAUUAUAGCCAUGAAAUGCUCUGCUCUCUUCUCUUUUCCUUGCUGUCCGCGGGGCUGGAGCAGUGCAGGCCCUGUGGGGACUCCCACCUCCUUCCAAAGGGUGAGCCCCGGGGGGGAGCCGUAAAGGAGAGGUGAGUCGGGGCAGGUGGGGUGGGACGAGGAGGGGCCCUGACUCCCACCCGCCCUCCCCGCCCCCCCCAAGGCGAGCCCCAGGGGGCAGGACCCCAGGGGCCGGCAGUCUCGGUCGGGAAGGGCUGGGGCCGGCCCGAGAGGGUGUGGCAGGUGUGGACUUGAUGGCAGACAGCUCCCAGGGGCUGUGGGGGUGGCGGGCUCUGAGGCUGCGGCCCCGGGAGGCUGGCGGAUGGAGCCGUCAGGUCGAAGGCCGUCGAAUGGUCCUCCCGUGCCAACCCUUAGGCCGGAGAGGCGGCUUCUCUGUCACCCCUGACCCCACAUUCUGAUUUCACGAGGACCAGAGGAGGCCUGGUUCAGACGCAUCAGGGGGAUGGGGCUGAGCACCAGGGGAAGGCGGGAGGCCUGAAGCCCAGGCCUCGGGCUCCUCCAGGCCGCCCCCCGGCCCCCACUGGACGCCCGCCCGUGGCCGGGGCCAGGCAGGUGAGGGCUAAAGUCCGACGGCCCGGCCCCCGGGGCGGACCUGGCGGCCGGAGCGUCCCCCGCCGCGGUGUGGUGCCUGUGGUAACCUGGCUGUUGGCGUUUUGCAAUGGGCCGGGGGCGGGGAGGCUGCGCACACAGGCUUCCUGUGGUGACUGGGCGCUUCCUGUUUUCUCAGGCGCCGGACUUGCUGCUGCCGAUGUGGAAACAGGGGCAGCUGCAGCCGGGGUGGCUCCAGGCAGGGCGGCCCGCCGACCCUGCCCAGAGGGGGCCUGAGUGGGCCCGCACCCCAGGCCCCGACCGGGGCAGGAGAUGGCCCGAGUUACCCCCCAACCCCUGGGCCCCCAGCCCUCCCAUCCCCAGCACUAAGAGGAAGGGGCCAGGCAGGGCUGCCGCUCAAGGCCAAGCAGGUGGUCCAGAGGGUCUGAGGUCCAGGGGCAGGAGCUCUGGUCUCAGCUCUGCCCUUUGUCCACCGAGUGUCUCUGGCCCUCCCUGCCCCUCCCCAGGCCUUGGUUUUCCUCUUUCACGUGAGGUGAUCGUGGUACUCAUGGUCUAAGAUCCCUCGCCCGUUUCGGCCCCAAUUCUGACAGUCCUUGAUUUUUUCCAUCCCAAGAGCUUCAGCUUGGAGGAUGAGAUCCGCCCUGGGACUGGGACCCUCCGAGGAAGGGCUUGGCAUAGGCCUCGACAGAGAGGGGUUUGGAGAGACUGGGAGCAGGGACGAGCUCACCCGCUGGGGGAACCAGACUUCGAUUUGAGGUGUGGAGGCCGGGAAGGCCAGGACCAGGUUAGGGAGACAGGGUGUAGAUGGGACAGACAGAGAAUGGUGGGUGACCAGGUUGACUCGGAAGGAUGCCGAGCGGGAGAAAGAUUUCCGGAUCCCCUUUAUUCCUACAAAUUUUAGGAAAGGGUCCGGUCCGCCCUCACAUUAUUUCUCAGGACAGAGACGAGUAGGGCUAGGGGCCGGGCCAGCCCUUCCCGGCUGUCCCGCAAGGAGGUGGGUGUCCGUGUGGCAUGACCCCUGGGCCUUGGGAGGGCCCGGAGCCUUCUCCCGGCAUCAGCUGCCUGGAGGUUCCACCACCAGGGCCAGGCCUCGGGGACUUGGCAUUGCCUUUUCCCCGAAUGUGUGUUGUUUUGUUUUCAAGCUGCUCUUGCAAGAAGGGGAGGGCAGAUGACUUGUGCUUCUGGAGAUUGCUGACAGCAUCUGACAUCUGGAGGAAGAAUUUCUUUGCAGGAAGGCUGAGGCCUGGCUGCCCCUGGGGGAACUGACCAGUCCACUGACUGAGUUCAGCCACCCCACUUGGCCCAGGAGGUUCUGAGGUGCCCACUUCCUAAGUGGCUUCUCCUCAGUCUCAAGGCCUGUCCAUCGCGGACGGCCAAGGACUGGUUCCAGCCAGAGAGGCCUCGAGGAUCCCGAGACCCUGGUGCUCAGCCUGAGGGGCCGGGAGGCCAGCCUGGCCCCCGCCAUCGCGUCCCCUGCCUUGGUGCCUGGGGUCAGCCCAAAUGCUGAGUUGGCGGCUCCGCAGCUGCUCUUCUGCCCACGGAGGCCCAGUUAUAAAUAAGCCCAGUGUGGCCAAGUCAUCAAGUUCUAUCCCAGCUGUAUUACCUCAGUGACCACAGGUUGGGGCUGCCCAGAACCGGGCCCGCCAGAACCUGCCCAUCAAGCCCAAAGGCCGGGCCAGCCUCGAUGCCCGCGGGGGUCCUCAAACCCAGGGCAGCAGCGCGUGCAGCUAGCUGCUCAGACCUGGACCUCCCUGGACACGGGCCACAGAAGGGGCAGGGCCCAUCCCGCCCGCACGGAGCCAGCAGCUAUUUACAAACCGAAACCAGGAGAAGCGAAGUGACUGCGGCCAGAGUGACUCCAGGCCCCCCGGCCCCCACUCCUCCCCACGGCCCCCUCCCCCGCUCCGCACGGCUUCCUCUUUCCUUCCCCACACAGCUCCCCAACCUCCCACUGCCCCGGCCAGCUCUCUCUGGACAACCUGCCAGGACCUCGCAGUGACCCCCCGCCCUGCCCCAUCCCCGGCCCUUCAGCCACUUGCUUGGAGAAGCAGGGGGGUUCUCUUCAACUCCUCACCGCCCCCCGCCAGGACCCCAUGAGCCUGGGCUCCUUGGAGCAGCCCCCUCCCACCGGGGCCCGGCCCACUCUGGCCUGCCCAAAGCACAUUCCCACAGUUCUCAGUUCCCCUUCGUGACUGGAAAAGCUCCAGCCCCGAUGGCCGCCAUGACGCUGCUCGGCCCUGCCCGAGGGUAGCCGCUCCAGGGGCCCCUUGACCUUUCCCUGGGUGGGGGGGUGGGGGCAAGGAAUCUGGGGCGCUGCGGUGGGCCUGGGGGCACCCGGGGCCUUCCAGGGGGCUUGUUUCUGGGUGGGAGGCCCCAGCUGCCUACUGUCUUUGAGCUGGGUUUCAGUCCCCUCAUUCCGCUGGUGUGGGUCACAGGCCCUCUUGCGGGCCAGAGUUGAGCUGGGAUGGACGGACGCUGGGCCUGAGACCACGGCUCACGCUGCUUAGGAACUGGCAGGCAGGACUGGCCUUGCAGCAGGGGAUUGUUCUGGGAAGAGACAAAAGACAACACAAGGAACACUCGUUUCAAAUCAUGGACGAGCUCUCAUGAUGAUGCAGAGGGGGGUCAGUUCUUUUUGUCCCCAGAUAGAGCCUGUCCCAUCAUCUCCGUCAGAAAUGAUGCUGGGGCGCAGAGGGCGAGGCGCGUGUCCCAGGCUACACAGCGGGCAAGCGUCUGGACUGGGAGUCAGGGUUUCCUGACACCCAGUCCCCUCGUCUGUCCAUCUGACUGGCCCUCACUCCGUCUCAUCCGUCUGUCUCCUUCCCCGGGGAGGACACAAGUUUCCCAGCCCCAGGGACAAGGCAGGAAGCUGGGCUGGCCCGAAGCUUGAGGGUGACACAGGCCUUGGACUCUGGAGCUGCCGGACUGGGUCGUCAGCGGCCCAGGUCCCCCUCCGCGGCCCCAGGGGAAGGCUCUGCCUGCCCCACUCCAUACCUCCCACCAAGUCCCAGCUGAAGCGGAGCCCUGGCACCCUACCCACCUCAGCCCCAGCCAGCGGGCCGCGUUUCACCUAACCCUUCCAAACGUCAGAAUCCUCUUCCAUGGACUGUCAGUCCUCAAACACAGAACACCCGCUCCAUGCCAGCCGCCGCAGGUGCGAACUGUCUCUAGAGCUAGGACAUGGCACCUGCCCAGAGUCCCGUGCGCACGGCAGAUGAGUGACAAGAUGCUGAGAACUCUGGGAGGGAAACUGAGGCUGGGGGACCCCAGGAGAAGGUGACGGGUGCUUCCCGGGGUGAGGAGGGGCCCCUCGGGUGGGAUAGGAAAGAGGUCCCCAACAAAAGCCUGGGGGGACAGGCUCCCCCUGCCGAGUCCCACCCCUGGGCCUGGGCGCUAGUGGUUCCCACAGUUCAAGUGCCCCUUCUUCCUCUGGGCCCAGUGAACUCCUAUUCAUCUGUCAGGGCCCAUGGACACACCAUAGUAUGACCAGGCCUGGCCUGGCUUCAUGGCUCCUUGCCUCCUCCUUCCCACCCAGAGGCCAGGCCUCCUUGGUCACGACGCCCUUGCCAGCCCCACCCAGCAGGCAUCUGCUCCCGGGCUGGAGCCCCCGCCGUCCUCUGCUCCGAAAAGCACCGUUUCCCUUUUCUGGGUGACCACACGCCAUGCACAGGGAAUUUCCACCUCAGCCUGUGGAGUCUCUGAUUCACCCAGGCCCCUUAUGCAUUUAACUCCUUCCGGGUCCAAGGCUUCCUACUCGUUGCCCCUCGCGCUUGCCCGGGACCCCUAGACUGCUUCGAAGUAGCCUCGGAUCCCACAGCCUGGAAAUCAAGUCAGCGCCUCAGUCACCGGCCCCCUCAGCACCCUCCCACUCACGCACCGGGCACAGAGACCCCUGUCCCGCCGGCUCCCGGCACGCACGCUGGGGCGGCUUUGGGCUGAGAGCACAGACUCUGUGUAAGAUAAGCCUGGUCCGGCCCUGAUUCUGGCUUUUUCUGCUUUCUGGCCUGGAGCGGUAUAAGGGUCGGCUCUGAGGCCCAUUUCCCAUCUGUUAAAAUCGAUCCCUGUGCCGUCGCUUUGUUGUAAAUGUCUAGCACGCUGGCCCAUGACCGGAGCUCGAUAUCGAUUACCUUCUUCCUACCACAGCAUCGCUACUCCAGACCUGGGGCCCCUAGGUCUUGUCCCGAGAGCUGGCUGCUCAGGCAGGGAGGAGGGCAAAGGAGGGUGAGAGGCUGCUCUCUCAAGGCUCUCCUCCGCCAGCUUCUCGGCUCCUCACGUUGCUCAGCUUUUCCAAGGAGGCUUUGGAAAGGCCAGGGGGUGGGAGCUUCCAAGGAACUGAGGACCGCAGAGAUCCUGAGCCCUCGGAGACAGGGCCGAGCCUUCCUCCUCCAGAGGGAUGCUGGGCACGUGCAUCACAUAGGAACAUCUCCAGUGCGGCCUCUAAUUCUCACAGUCCCCUGGGGGGUAUCCUGCUGUUGGCCCCGUUUUACAGAUGACGAUAGCGAGGCUCUGAGAAGUGACUUGCCCUCAGCCACGUGGCGAACACAGGGCAGGGGUAGGAUUCAGAAUCAAGGUCUCUAGAGCCAUACUCCUAACCUCCACGAGGUUAAGAGGGUCGCUCAGCAUUUGUGGAGGCCAGUGAGGGAAACGCGCACUGAUUUGAAAACCUACUGUAUUCAAGGGGAAGGCUCACAGAGUGUCUCUUUCUGCCCUCUGGACCAUGCUGCGGCUGGGUCUUGGCGCCUCUACAGAAUUGAGGCCUCUGAGCUCCGGGGAGGGGAAGGGGCUACAGUGCCAGUGGUAAGGAAGAAUCCAGGGGUGUCUGGAUAGGAGAGGAUGAUGCCGGGGGCUCCACAGAAGCGGGGGGCCUGGCGGGGAGGGGGGGGAAGUGGCUCCUGUCCUCCGUGAGCCAGAAGGGCGGGUGCUGCCCGUGGUGAGCAGGAGGAAGUCGCUGUGGGUGGCGGUGGGUUUGAGGUGCCGGAGGCUGAGUGAUGUGGCCAGGAGGUGAGCUCCCCGUCUGAACGGCCUGGUCAACAGGAGACAAGGGUGUGGAGGGGGGUAGGGGGGAGAGCUGAGAUUCAGGGCAUGACGGAGAUCGGGCCCCUCUGGAGAUCUCUGCUGCUUGGCCCCUGGGGCUGGGGAGCUGGUGGGAGUGUUGCGGGGGGAGCAGGGAGGUAGGCAGGAGCUGGCGCAGAGUGUGAGGAGGGAUUCAGUAGGGCGGGGGAAGAUGGAGGUGACCUGGGAAGGGAGCGUCUGGGGAGACAGCCUGGAGGAGGCGAGCCCUCAAAAGAUGGAGGAGGGAAAAAAAAAAAGAUGGAGGAGGCCUUUGAGUGUGAAAGGGGGUGGGACUGUGAGCAAAGGCCGUGGGAGAUUGAGAAAGAGGUUCUGGGAAUGUUGAGUAGCGUCUUUGGGCUGGAGGUGGGGGCAGGGCUGGUCCACUCGGGGUGGGGGAGGGUGGGAAAGGCUGGGCAGGGUGUUGUGGGGUGGGGGGUGGACUCCAGCACAGGACUCGGAGCUUUGGACUUCAGCCUGUGAACAAGCCAGAGCUAAGGAGCGCUUUUAGGUAGGAAAGCACCCAUCCACGGAAGCACACGCCCCAGGGCCACCCCCACACACCCCCUGGCCAGCUGUGUGUCCUUGGGCAGCCCCCUCGCCAGCUGAACCCCGUGACCCUUGUCUGUAAAACGGUACUGGUAGUAAAUUCUCAGGGUCAUGGGAGGUGGGGUGAGUUAAUGCCGGGCAACGAGGGCCUCAGCCGGUGGGGCUGGUCGCCUUGGUCCCGGCCCCUGGCACUUUAUGGGCGCCUGCCCUGGGUACCACCCGGGUCUCCAGCUGACCUGGUUUAAGCCUCGCCUGUCUCUCGAUUGGCUGAGUCAUGGACCCCCUUCUGACCCAGUUUCCUCGACUGUCCCAGGGGGAAUGAUAAGAGCCCCAACUUCAGAUCUGAAUGAGAACGUGAACUCUGCAGGGGUGCUCCCGUUCUCCCGGAGUAGGGACCAGAUUCCACACGAUGCACAACGUCCCUCAGCAUCCCCGCCCCACCCAGGCCUCUCACCUCCCGGCCCUCCCACGCCCACUCUGCUCACACUGGCCCCUUGCUGGUCCCCCGCCUGGAGCUCUUCUCCCAGGUGUCUGCUUGGCUGGCUCGCCCACUUGUCCCCGGGGUUGGUUCAGUGUCCCCAUUCUCCAUGUCUCCCCGAGGCCUGCCCUGCUCCCCUUCACGCUGCAGAUGCGCCCCCCCUGCCCCACCGCCGCCCUGAGCUGGGCAAUCCCCUUUCCUGUAGCGCUUGCCUCCUUCUCGCCGACUCCGUGUGUCCCCUGCCACCCCCCCACCCCCGCCUGCUCCAGAAUCAGCCCCUGGAGGACAGGGGCCUUUGCCUGUUUGGUCGCCUGACCCCUGGAGGCCCUGAGCAAAUAUUUGUCAGAUGUCCUCACGGGCUCCAGAGGCGGCCCCGCACUCGGACCGGCGCUCAGAGCUUGGAGGGGCCCAAGGAGCCCCUCCCAGUGUCUCAACCGUGAGAGGAAGUUGCAAGAUGGCCAUUUCUGUACACUGGCUCAGCUCUCUCUGGUCAUCUUUCCCAGCUCGCUCUCUGAGGCCUGGGUUCUCCCACGCGCCCUGUCGCGUCCCGCCAGGCCCAGCCGCUUGCAAGGGUGGAAGGGUGGAGGGCAUCUGGAGCUCUUUGGGGCUGAGGGUGAGGGGUCUGUGAGAGAAGGGGUCACGACGUUCCCCCGUGUGCACUCAGCUUCGAGGACGUGGGCCCCGUGUUUCCUGUUGCUUGCCUGCCUUGUGAUUGCAAUAGCACCCGGCCUACCCCAGCAGACGCCCAGCCCAGGGCAGGCAAAGGCCGCCCAGCCCUCCACCAGCCAGGCUGCCUGACCGCGUGUCCCUCUCUGCAGGGCCCAGCCCUGCAUGGCCGCCCGCUUGUCCCGUGGUGGUGGGAACAGCACUGUCAUGGGCUGCUGGUAGGAGGAUAAGUGGGGAAAACCUUUACUCAAGGCAAUGUGACAAUAUCUCUAUUGUUUAAUCACUCAGUCGUGUCCGGCUCUUUGGAGACCCCCAUGGCCUGUAGCCCGCCAGGCUCCUCUGUCCAUGGGAUUUCCCAGAAACAAGCUGACGUGAAGGCAUGAGGACUGCCACCUGGAGCCAGCACUGCAAUCCCGCCAGUCCUGGAAACGACCUUUCACCCACAUCUUCCCCCAACUAUUCCAGUAGACACUCCCCUCUAACUUUCCUGCAAAAAAAAAAAAAAAGCACUCCUCUUUGACCCAGUAUUUCAACUUUGGGGCAUUUAUCCUAGACGUACACUCACAUGUGUGUAAAUUAGCAAAUUUUGCCUAUUGCAGUAUUAUUUGUAAUAGCAGAAGUCUGGAAACAACCUGAAUAUCCGUCCGUAAGAGACUGGUUAAAUAACUUUUCAACAAUGGAAUGCUAUGCAGCAAUGAAAAUGGACCACAGCUACAUGCAACAAGAAUGUUUACACUAUGAUUCUCUUCAUAGAAAGGUUAAAAUCUGUUAAGGUAAAAGCUAAACUAUAUUGUUAGAGAUGUUUACUCAAGUGGGAAAGCUGUAAAGAAAACAGGGAAAUAAUUACUGGCAAAGUUAGGAUAGUCUUCCUUCUAGAGAGAGGCAGGACAUUUGGGGAAGCUUCUGGAGUUCUGGCAGUGUUUUAUUUCUUGACCUAGAUGGUGGUUAUGUACGUGUAUGCUUUAUAAUUAUCUUUUAAAUUGUACACAAAUGUUUCCUGCAGUUUUUUGAAUGAAUGAGGUCUCGCAUGAUGUGACGCUACCACAGUUUACCCAAACUGUAGAAUACUAUAUAGUCAUUAAAAAGAACAAGACGGCUCUGUAUGCAUGGGCAUGGGAUGGAUUUAGUGGGGAAAAAACAACCAAAGUGAAGCACGAUGUGUUCAGGGCGCUGCUUGCUGUGUGAAAUUUAAAAAAGAAUAUAUCUGCCUCUAUGCUUCUGUCUGCUAGACUUCCUCUAGAAAAAAUAUCCAAGACUCAACUAACAGGGAACGGGACCGUUUCCCUUCUUGUUACCUUUUGAAUUUCAUACCAUCUGUAUCUAUUACCUAUUGAAAAAUUAACAUAAUUUUAAAAACCGUUUCAGGGAUUUCCCUGGUGGUGCAGUGGUUAAGACUCUCCCUUCCAAUGCAGGGGAGACAAGUUCGAUCCCCGGUUGGGGAGCUAGGAUCCUGCAUGAUGCCGUGGGGCAGCUGAGCCCACAUAGCACAACUAGAGUCCACAUGCCUCAACAGAGACCCAGCGCGGCCAAAGACAAAUAACAAAUAAAAAGAUGAAAAUAAAAAACAGCUUUGCCUCUCA